UGAGGAAUAUUGGUCAAUGGGUGCAAGCCUGAACCAGCCAUCCCGCGUGAAGGACGACUGCCCUAUGGGUUGUAAACUUCUUUUGUAUAGGGAUAAACCUACCCUCGUGAGGGUAGCUGAAGGUACUAUACGAAUAAGCACCGGCUAACUCCGUGCCAGCAGCCGCGGUAAUACGGAGGGUGCAAGCGUUAUCCGGAUUUAUUGGGUUUAAAGGGUCCGUAGGCGGACUUAUAGGUCAGUGGUGAAAGCCUGUCGCUUAACGAUAGAACUGCCAUUGAUACUGUAAGUCUUGAGUAUAUUUGAGGUAGCUGGAAUAAGUAGUGUAGCGGUGAAAUGCAUAGAUAUUACUUAGAACACCAAUUGCGAAGGCAGGUUACCAAGAUAUAACUGACGCUGAGGGACGAAAGCGUGGGGAGCGAACA
rnacentral:rRNA from 1 species